rnacentral:rRNA from 1 species
CCUACGGGUGGGCAGCAGUGAGGAAUAUUGGUCAAUGGGCGAGAGCCUGAACCAGCCAAGUCGCGUGAAGGAUGACGGCCCUACGGGUUGUAAACUUCUUUUGUCAAGGAGCAAGUGAGUCCACGUGUGGUCUUAGCGAGAGUACAUGAAGAAAAAGCAUCGGCUAACUCCGUGCCAGCAGCCGCGGUAAUACGGAGGAUGCGAGUGUUAUACGGAUUUAUAGGGUUAAAAGGGUGCGUAGGGGGAAUAUCAAGUCAGCGGUAAAAAUUCGGGGCUCAACCCCGUCUGGCCGUUGAAACUGAUGUUGUUGAGUGGGCGAGAAGUAUGCGGAAUGCGUGGUGUAGCGGUGAAAUGCAUAGAUAUCACGCAGAACUCCGAUUGCGAAGGCAGCAUACCGGCGCCCAACUGACGCUGAAGCACGAAAGCGUGGGUAUCGAACAGGAUUAGAUACCCCUGUAGUC